GACGAACGCUGGCGGUGUGCUUCACACAUGCAAGUCGAACGAGGUAGCAAUACCUAGUGGCGGACGGGUGAGUAACGCGUGGGAAUCUGCCUUUAGAUGGGGGAUAACGGGUCGAAAGACUCGCUAAUACCGCAUAUGACGAAAGUUGAAAGGAGUAAUCCGUCUAAAGGAUGAGCCCGCGUCCGAUUAGCUAGUUGGUAGAGUAAAAGCCUACCAAGGCGACGAUCGGUAGCUGGUCUGAGAGGAUGAUCAGCCACAAUGGGAACUAGAGACACGGCCCAUACUCCUACGGAGGCAGCAGUGGGAAUUUUACGCAAUGGGCGAAAGCCUGACGUAGCGACACCGCGUGAGCGAAGAAGCCCCUUGGGGUGUAAAAGCUCUGUCAGCUGGAACGAAAAAAAUGACGGUACCAGCAGAGAAGCAUCGGCUAACUACGUGCCAGCAGCCGCGGUAA
rnacentral:rRNA from 1 species